GGUGCUCGAGUGGCGAACGGGUGAGUAACACGUGAGUAACCUGCCCUUGACUUUGGGAUAACUUCAGGAAACUGGGGCUAAUACCGGAUAGGAGUUCCUGCUGCAUGGUGGGGGUUGGAAAGUUUCGGCGGUUGGGGAUGGACUCGCGGCUUAUCAGCUUGUUGGUGGGGUAGUGGCUUACCAAGGCUUUGACGGGUAGCCGGCCUGAGAGGGUGACCGGCCACAUUGGGACUGAGAUACGGCCCAG
rnacentral:rRNA from 1 species